CCAGACUCCUACGGGAGGCAGCAGUGGGGAAUAUUGCGCAAUGGGGGAAACCCUGACGCAGCAACGCCGCGUGAGUGAGGAAGUAUCUCGGUAUGUAAAGCUCUAUCAGCAGGGAAGAAAGAAAUGACGGUACCUGACUAAGAAGCCCCGGCUAACUACGUGCCAGCAGCCGCGGUAAUACGUAGGGGGCAAGCGUUAUCCGGAUUUACUGGGUGUAAAGGGAGCGUAGACGGCGAUGCAAGUCUGAAGUGAAAGGCGGGGGCCCAACCCCCGGACUGCUUUGGAAACUGUAUGGCUGGAGUGCAGGAGAGGUAAGUGGAAUUCCUAGUGUAGCGGUGAAAUGCGUAGAUAUUAGGAGGAACACCAGUGGCGAAGGCGGCUUACUGGACUGUAACUGACGUUGAGGCUCGAAAGCGUGGGGAGCAAACAGGAUUAGAUACCCCGGUAC
rnacentral:rRNA from 1 species